rnacentral:rRNA from 1 species
GAUCAUGGCUCAGGAUGAACGCUAGCUACAGGCUUAACACAUGCAAGUCGAGGGGCAGCAUCAUCAAAGCUUGCUUUGAUGGAUGGCGACCGGCGCACGGGUGAGUAACACGUAUCCGACCUGCCGACAACGACUGGGAUAGCCUUUCGAAAGAAAGAUUAAUACCGGAUGGUAUAGUUUUCCCGCAUGGGGUGACUAUUAAAGAAUUUCGGUUGUCGAUGGGGAUGCGUUCCAUUAGG